rnacentral:rRNA from 1 species
AGAGCUUGCUCUCGGGUGACGAGCGGCGGACGGGUGAGUAAUGUCUGGGAAACUGCCUGAUGGAGGGGGAUAACUACUGGAAACGGUAGCUAAUACCGCAUAACGUCGCAAGACCAAAGUGGGGGACCUUCGGGCCUCAUGCCAUCAGAUGUGCCCAGAUGGGAUUAGCUAGUAGGUGGGGUAACGGCUCACCUAGGCGACGAUCCCUAGCUGGUCUGAGAGGAUGACCAGCCACACUGGAACUGAGACACGGUCCAGACUCCUACGGGAGGCAGCAGUGGGGAAUAUUGCACAAUGGGCGCAAGCCUGAUGCAGCCAUGCCGCGUGUGUGAAGAAGGCCUUCGGGUUGUAAAGCACUUUCAGCGGGGAGGAAGGCGUUGAGGUUAAUAACCUUGUCGAUUGACGUUACCCGCAGAAGAAGCACCGGCUAACUCCGUGCCAGCAGCCGCGGUAAUACGGAGGGUGCAAGCGUUAAUCGGAAUUACUGGGCGUAAAGCGCACGCAGGCGGUCUGUCAAGUCGGAUGUGAAAUCCCCGGGCUCAACCUGGGAACUGCAUUCGAAACUGGCAGGCUAGAGUCUUGUAGAGGGGGGUAGAAUUCCAGGUGUAGCGGUGAAAUGCGUAGAGAUCUGGAGGAAUACCGGUGGCGAAGGCGGCCCCCUGGACAAAGACUGACGCUCAGGUGCGAAAGCGUGGGGAGCAAACAGGAUUAGAUACCCUGGUAGUCCACGCCGUAAACGAUGUCGAUUUGGAGGUUGUGCCCUUGAGGCGUGGCUUCCGGAGCUAACGCGUUAAAUCGACCGCCUGGGGGAGUACGGCCGCAAGGUUAAAACUCAAAUGAAUUGACGGGGGGCCCGCACAAGCGGUGGAGC